AGUGAACGCUGGCGGCAGGCCUAACACAUGCAAGUCGAACGGCAGCACAGUAAGAGCUUGCUCUUACGGGUGGCGAGUGGCGGACGGGUGAGGAAUACAUCGGCAUCUACUUUUUCGUGGGGGAUAACGUAGGGAAACUUACGCUAAUACCGCAUACGACUUACGGGUGAAAGCAGGGGAUCUUCGGACCUUGCGCGAUUGAAUGAGCCGAUGUCGGAUUAGCUAGUUGGCGGGGUAAAGGCCCACCAAGGCGACGAUCCGUAGCUGGUCUGAGAGGAUGAUCAGCCACACUGGAACUGAGACACGGUCCAGACUCCUACGGGAGGCAGCAGUGGGGAAUAUUGUACAAUGGGAGCAAGCCUGAUCCAGCCAUGCCGCGUGGGUGAAGAAGGCCUUCGGGUUGUAAAGCCCUUUUGUUUGGAAAGAAAAGCAGCAGGUUAAUACCCCGCUGUCCUGACGGUACCCAAAGAAUAAGCACCGGCUAACUUCGUG
rnacentral:rRNA from 1 species